rnacentral:piRNA from 1 species
UUGUUGGGAAUUGGGCUGCCGACUGUAA